rnacentral:rRNA from 1 species
UACGAAGGGGGGCUAGCGUUGCUCGGAAUCACUGGGCGUAAAGCGCACGUAGGCGGCUUUCUAAGUCAGGGGUGAAAUCCUGGAGCUCAACUCCAGAACUGCCUUUGAUACUGGAGAGCUCGAGUCCGGAAGAGGUGAGUGGAACUGCGAGUGUAGAGGUGAAAUUCGUAGAUAUUCGCAAGAACACCAGUGGCGAAGGCGGCUCACUGGUCCGGUACUGACGCUGAGGUGCGAAAGCGUGGGGGGCAAACAGG